rnacentral:rRNA from 1 species
GAUGAACCCUGGCGGCGUGCCUAAUACAUGCAAGUCGCGCGAACAGACGAGGAGCUUGCUCCUCUGACGUUAGCGGCGGACGGGUGAGUAACACGUGGAUAACCUACCUAUAAGACUGGGAUAACUUCGGGAAACCGGAGCUAAUACCGGAUAAUAUAUUGAACCGCAUGGUUCAAUAGUGAAAGACGGUUUUGCUGUCACUUAUAGAUGGAUCCGCGCCGCAUUAGCUAGUUGGUAAGGUAACGGCUUACCAAGGCGACGAUGCGUAGCCGACCUGAGAGGGUGAUCGGCCACACUGGAACUGAGACACGGUCCAGACUCCUACGGGAGGCAGCAGUAGGGAAUCUUCCGCAAUGGGCGAAAGCCUGACGGAGCAACGCCGCGUGAGUGAUGAAGGUCUUCGGAUCGUAAAACUCUGUUAUUAGGGAAGAACAAAUGUGUAAGUAACUAUGCACGUCUUGACGGUACCUAAUCAGAAAGCCACGGCUAACUACGUG